UUCCUUCUUAGGGACUGGUCUAGAGGGAGGGAAAGCCUUUUAUGAGGCUAGGGUCGCGCUACUGGUAAGUGACAGAGGCAGGGUUCCAGCCCAGGUCCCUCUGUCCGCAGAGCUUACCUUAUGCUGUGGGUCCCUCCCUGAGGCCAGCACUGUGUCUCCACUCCUCUCCUGUAAUGUGAGGCAGGGCUGUAAAGGGGACCAGCCCGUGGGCAGCUGCUCACUCACCCCUCGGAACCUGAUCUCAGGUGGGUGUUGUGAGGAGGGAGUGUGCGGAUCCCGGAGAGGAGCAAGCGUUCAGGAACCAUAGUAGUGGUAGUAGGCAGUGGUAGUAGCAGUUGUUGUUGUUAUUUCAGGGGCUGGGCUUCUGAGGCCUUCUUGUCUCAGACCUGGGCUCCCACGAAAACAGGUCCAGUGACUGUGUCCAAGAGUGACCUCAAGGCUGGGUCCAGCUUUACAUGGGUUGUGGGCAGGUGGCCUGAUGCUCUGGCCUCAGGCGAGCUGCAACUUGGAUCCCUACUGACUCAGCUGAAGCAGCCUGGGCUGGACCAGUCUCUGGAGGUUCCCCGGGGCCAGAGCCAGGACUCAGCCCCCAGUGACUCCCACCCCCAUCCCCCAGCACAGGAAUGGGGUGGGGAGGUAGGGGCAGAGAGGGAAGCCAGGGCUGCUGCUGACCUUGGGAAACCCAGACUUCUCCCGUCAAUCCAGGCUCCACCCUCUGGCCCCACUUUUUUCCCAGUUCCCUCCAAGGCAGGCUGAUGAGUCAGUGCUGGGUGGAUGGCUCACAGGGAAAAGUUCCUGUUGGCAUGGACGGGGAGACCCCAGACACAGGGUUGAGAAGGGAUGAUUUUCUGGCUGCCCUGAGGGAGCUCCUAGGUGGGCUGCCCAAGGCUGGCAUGACAUCAGCCUCUGCCCUCCCUAAUUUGUGGCCCCUGUGGGACAAGUUCACUGUCCAGCUGGCCCUGGCCCAGCUCAGCAGGCAUGCAGCUGAGUGCUCUUCCCUCCUUCUGUCACCUUCAGGCCAGUCUUCCUCUCUCUGACUUGGGCUGAGCCUGGAUGGGAGGCUGAGAAAAUCCAGUUUCCAUGCCAAGAGGCAGCAGGUCACAGCCCAUGCUUCGAGAUUAGAAGGGGUCCCUCUCAGUGUCCAGCCUCAUGUAGCUGGGCUAGGAGCUAGGUUGGAUCUGUGUGACUCCUUCCUCUGGAGGUAUGGGCCAGGAGCGGCUGAGCCCUGGGAGCAGCCAUAUGCAGUAUGUGUUUGUAUCCAGAAGGAGGAGGGACAUGGGAGGAGGGGCUGUGAUGAGGGGUGCUCAGAGGAGCCUGCUCCUGAGAAGCAGAGCCACGCACCCACCUCGGGGGUUUCUGAGCUGGGGUAGUGGCAGGAGGGGAAUUCCAGCCUCAAACUUCCUGUCUCAGCUGCUACUCGGUUCCUGCCCGGCCACCCCCCCUCCCCAGGGGCAGGCGGGCUAGCCCCCCCAUCAUAUGCAAAUCAUGGGGAAAUUCACCUCUGUUUCCUUCUAAGGGAAUUUUUUUCCACUCGCCAGGCCCAGCCCAGGCAUAUCUUUUCACCUGGGGAGGCUGGCCCAGCCCUGCCUUCUGUCCUGGGGCAGGAGCAGCCUAGCUGGAGUCUUCUACACACACAUCCUAUCAGUGUCUGCUUAGCCCGGCUGGGGGACCCUGACCUUACAGGCAAAGAGAACUGGAAUGGGGGCAGGGAUGUCUGGUUUUCCUGUGCCAGCAGCGCUUCCUCCAGUGCAGUGAAAGAGACUAAAGCUAGCUGUAGGGGGGCACUCCAGGCCUCAUGUGCUCUACCAGGAGGAGGGCUCUGAUAGCGCCCACUGAUCAGUUUUUCCAUCUGCUGAGGGAAUAUUCAGGUGCUAGGGCUGCUGAGAACCGACUUGUCCCAGCCAAGAUUUUCAGUGCCCACAGGCAGUGCACUGCCCUGAGAGCCCUGGCAUCCCAUUAGUUCCCAGUGCUCCAAGAUACUAGCCUAGGAUCAUGUGCCCGGAGGGAGGCAGGUGGGCGGAUACAUGCGCACACUGCAUACCUGAGACAAGGAGCCAGGCCUGGGAUGACCCAGCUGCCAUGGUUUUGAGAGGCAGGCCAGAAGGCCCAAGGAAGGGGGGUGAUGUGAUGGGGGAAGCACUGGGCAUUGUGAAGACACAGACCAGGGACCUGACCUAUUGUGGCAGGUCAGGGAAGGCUUCUCAGAGGCAGUGACAUCUCACAAGGGUUCUGAAGGAAGAGCAGGAGUUUGCCAGCAGCAUUGUUUCUCCCGUUCGCCACCUGUCUCUCAUAACACACUUUGUUCAAACUCAAUUUUGGGAGCUUUGUUCUCCCAAAUAAAUUCUGGAUCUUCUGUUAGAGACAGGAAGGCAACCGAGUGGCCCAGACCUGGGUUCGAGUUCUGACUGUCUCUUACCACUAGCCAGGUGACCUUCCUUUCCUUCACGGUAGCAAGCCCUAUAAGAAUGAAGCCAUAUAUCUGGCCACCAGCGGGAGCUCAGUGCCUGCGAAUCCCUGCUCAUUCCCUGCGAUCAGGGUCUGUGCCUGCCUUCGUACCUGCCUGAGCAUUGACGUACAGGGUAGUGAUAAGCAUAGGCCCUGGGCUUGCGUCUCUCUUCCACCGUUAACUGCUGUGUGACCCUGGUGACUAAGCUGCCUUCUCUGGACCACAGUUUUCAUCUGAAAAACAGGGAAGGAGUUGAUGAUGGUAUAGUGCCCUCCUCACAAGCUUGCUGAUGAUUCAGUGUUAGACACUUAUAACAGGGCCUGGUUCACAGCUCUCAGCAAAUGGGAACUUUUAUUAUAAGCAGGCUGGCAGAUGUGGCAGAGGGACCGGGAAGGAUGAGUGCUGCCCUGGGCUGGACUUUGUCUCCCCUACAAUUUAGAGACCUUCAGACCCUGGUGCCCCAGUCUUGCCCCCAAAUAGCCUCCAUGGCCCCCAGCUGCCCCACCUCCCUCCCUAGCUUCUCUUAGGGCUCCAGCUAUCACCCCUUACCUCCCCCACUCCCAUUAAAGACACCCACAGGAUGUGGUUGGCCCUGGACUUGCCUCUUUUGCGUAACAUUUAUUCUGUUUUAUUUGCCAAAUACGAGAGUCUAAGCUGUUCACU
rnacentral:lncRNA from 10 species